rnacentral:lncRNA from 1 species
CACAAGGAACCAUGGCAUCUUCAGUCAUGUUGUCUGGUGGAUCCUCCUUGACUCUGAACUACAGCUGAAGUGAUGCUAAAUGACUUCCAAUCCUGACUCCUAAGAGUCUUGCUGUUUCUUGGAAUGCUGGCUGUUGGGACACUCCCUCUGAGGACCCAGCUGUAAUCUUCAAGAAUGGAGAAUUGUGUGUAGCUCUCUGCAUCAGCCAUCCGUGGAUCUCCUUUUUGCUGUCUCUGGUUUUGUUUACUAAUCCAUCCUGUUUGCCCAGAGCAGAGUCUCAGUAAGGUAACUGAUCCUGCUGAAUGAAUGAAUUGAUGCAUGAGGGGGCCUGGGAAGGGCAGGUAUGAAGAGGUGAGAUUGGGUGGACCUUGAAGGUAGCCUUGCCAGGGAGGGCAUAAGGCCACUCAUAAAAAGCAGGGCUCUUUAUACCACUAAGCCAAUGAAC